UAUUAACAAUUCGAUCCUUUUCAAUUUAACACUGAAAAUUAAUGUGUCCAUCCCCUCCCACGAUUUUAAUAUUCGCCUGUUCAUUUUCUCUUCAUCCUUUACCGUUUUGUUUUGCGUUAACCAAAUCGGACACUUAGAAAAACGAACAUAAAUUACAUUAACCAACAGUAUUUAAAAUUUCAGGUUGAUGUCACUUCGACGGGAGUUGUUUUUGUGUUAACCAACAACAAAAUAAGAUACAUAUUUUUUUUUUUUUUUUUUUUUUAUCGGAAACUGUUCUUUACCAGGAUGAAAUCAAAGUGAAAGGUGUUUGGGAACGUAUAUACAGGAAUUCUUGUCAACUUGUUUCUAAUGAGAAUGGCAAUACCAUGGACUGAUGAUACAAUUCAGGACAGAGAACAAUUAAGGACACGAACUGAUGAACUAGACUCACAGUCAACAUUUGCACAUUUUAACUUCGUCAGUCAGUCAAGAUCAGCUGGUGAACUGCGCAGCCAGUGUAAUACUAAUAGGCAAAACGAUGACUUAUUUAUCGAAACUACACAUUCACGUGUUUUGGCACUGCAGAGGGAAAACAUGGAGCUGAAGUCAAAGUUAAAUUGUUUCAUAUGUAAACAAAACCAGUUCACACAUGUAUUAAUUCCAUGCAGUCAUGUUGUAUGUGGUGAUUGCGUUAAGCUUACAAUUUGUUCUUGCAAUAUACACAUUGAAUCAUCUCAUCCAUGCACGUUACCGUCUAUUCCUCACACUACAGAACAGGAAAUGUCGUUUUAGUCAUCCAUCAGUUCAUCGGACUUAUUUUCAAUUGACUUCAAUACCUCGUAGAACAAUUUGGAAUGAUAUAAUGGUUUCAAAAAUAGACUAACUUAACUAAAGUCUAACAAUUGAUAUUGGAAUUCGUUAAGGAGCCAUAUAACAUUUAUCUAACGUGUUUUAGUGUAAUUUACCCUAAAUGAAAUGACUGCUUAUGAUUAGUGAUGCAGGAUUUUGUAUUACAAAUGACCUUUAAGAUGCUACAUGUUAUUUUAUGAGAGACAUGUGUGUGCUACUCCUUUGUAGUAGCAUCCCUUCUUGAUAUUCACAGUUAUUGUCUAGCUAAAAGUUCAUUCAUUUUAUAUGUUUUAAAGUAGUGUGUAUAUUUAUAUUAGGCUUCUAGUUUUAAAUGUUCCUUUUUUUCUGCAUUGACAUUGUUCAUAUGAUUGUUUCUUGGUCAUGCAUAAUAUCUCGCUUUCCUAUAAAUUUUAUGCCGUUGCUGCAUAAAAUAUGUUGUUGUUAAGUACGGCCCCGACAUUGAAGAGUAGGACGGCCUGAUUUAAAAUAUCAAGGUUAUGUACUUUACGCUAGGUAGCAGUUACUGCUAGCAUUUGUUUCAUAUAGUAAUGUUUGAUUUAUUGUAACUGGGUUUUUGUUCAUAUCAAUUAUUCUGUCGUUGCCGAAAUAAGAUAACUGUUUCAGUAUAUAUUUUGAUUGAUUAUUCUUUUAUGUACCUUUUAGUAGUUAAUGGAUAAAGCUAAACAGGGGAGUUUGGUCUAAAGAAAACUUGUUACAUCCGAUACCAUAUUCCUGUGUACACGGAAUAUUGGCAGUGGCUGUUCUAUUUCAUAUCUUAAUGUUGUUUCUAUAUACAUCUUAGUGCAGAUCUGUAAUAGCCAGUGCUUAAUGUACCCCAUUCUAAAUAGACCUUUACACCAGUACACUUAUGAAGACAUCGGAUCGCUGUAUAUGUGUUUUUAUACCAUUUGACAUAUAGAGUAGACAUAUGAAAAUUGUUGAUUGAUUGAUUGAUGGUUGAAAACUGUUGACAUGUUGUAGUUGUUUCGUCUUUCUUUGUUUUUUCUUCUUUUUGUGUAGUUUGCUUGCAUUUUCCAUUUUGUAUACCUUGCAUCACAAUUUUGUCAAAGUCUAAUAAACAAUGAAACUCAA